rnacentral:rRNA from 1 species
GAUGAACGCUAGCGGCAGGCCUAAUACAUGCAAGUCGAACGGGUAAGGCCCUUUCGGGGUACACGAGUGGCGGACGGGUGCGUAACGCGUAUGCAACAUGCCUUCCAGCGGGGGAUAUACCAGGGAAACUUGGCGCAAUACCCCAUAGAAUUACGGGACCGCAAUGGGUCUUGUGAUUAAAACUCCGGUGCUGGGAGAUUGGCAUGCGUGACAUUAGCUAGUUGGCGGGGUAACGGCCCACCAAGGCGACGAUGUCUAGCUGGUCUGAGAGGAUGAUCAGCCCACACUGGGACUGAGACACGGCCCAGACUCCUACGGGAGGCAGC